rnacentral:rRNA from 1 species
AUGGCUGGGACAAGUCAUAAGUCAAAACAGGAUGGACCUGCUGGAUCAAGCCAUGACGACCUUGCAUCUCAUGGGGAUGAAGAGCAUCAAACACAACCACGGAGCAGUGCACCAAUAACUGGGUGCAAGCGUAUGAGAACUAAAGCAGCAGCUGUAAGGGGGAAGCGCCCUGACGAUAUCAUUAGUAAUGACAAUAGCAACGAGAGCCAAGCUGCAGAUGCUGGGAAUAAAAAUGUCGAAUGUGCAGACGUCGAGCAACCUCCAAAAGCAAAACGCCAGAAAACGGGAGGAACUGAGGGUCGUAGGAACAGGGCAUCUCCUGCAAGGCUAUUCAAGUUGAACAAGGACUUAGUUCCUGACCAAAAGGGUGUCAUCAUCGGAAAAGAAUUUGGCGGCAUUCUGGACCUUGCAGCGAGUAGCAUGCCCGGAGAUUUUAGCCAGUGGAUAAUGAAGCAUUACGACCCGGAGAUUUCACAGAUAGUCAUUCCAGAAAGGGGGAAGAUUCCUGUAGAUGCCGCUAGUGUCCGUAGGAUAUGGGGUUUGCCCAACAGGGGCAGGAAGCUGUUGUACCUAGACUCUUUGGAUGUUGAUGAGCCAAUCCCGAACUUGGUACCAAGGGUUUCUGUCUGGAAUUCAGAUUUAAUCUCCAAAGUUAUCAAGAAGGAUAGGAAGGCUCCAGGAGAAUAUGGCCAAUUGCGGGGGAAAUCAAGUAGCCAGGGAGCACCGGCCCUCACGGUUGACACGUGGACGAAAGACGGAAUUGAGGGGAACAAGGACAAUGAUGAUGAUGAAGAAGAAGAGGAUGACAAAAAAGAAGAUGAUGAAGGAAAGGAGGACGAUGACGAUGAAGAAGGCGAUGGGGAUGGCAAAGACAAGGAAGACGAUGGGCAAGGGAAGCAGGAUGAAGAUGAUGAAGAUGACAGCGGAGGUGGCAACGGUGGUUCAGGCAGCAAUGGUGGCUCCGAUCGGGACGAGGAUCCCGCAGAUGAGGAGACAGGCAACAAUGAUGAUGAACAAUGCACGCUGCAAUUUCUGAUUGAAAAGAAGAAGGACAGAAAGGCAAAAGGAUUGGAUGAGGCAGAUAGCAUCUCCAAUGGUAUCCAGAGGGCCAAGGUGCAAGACUUCAAGGCAUCACCCGAGGCUCGAUCAUUAAAUCAUGCAGGACACAAAAAGGAGAAAGAGAACAUUCCUCCGGUCCUAUGUACGGAGAUCAAUAGGAUACAACACCCGCCCGAAGGUGUAACCAAUGGAAAAAGUCCGGAACAAAAGUUACUAAGAGCCCUAGGGAAAUUGCCUGUCUGCCAAACUGUACUUGCCCAACCUGAGGCCACUAGUGUUCUAGAAGCAGUAACCAUGGGAAAAAGCCCGGAACAAAAGUUGCCACGAGCCCUAGGGAAAUUGCCUGUCUGCUCAACUGUACUUGCCCAACCUGAGGCCACUAGUGUUCCAGAAGCAGUAGAAGCAACUGGCCAAGGGAACACUUACCAUUUCUCUAAUGUGGAGGAGCAGUACCACGAAUUCAUGCGUGUUAAUGAGAAGGCAACCAAUGCACUAGAAAUCAAUGUUCUAGCUGUGAGUGAGCUGUUUGCAAGCCCAAGGGUAAUUAAAUAUGGCAAGUACUUUGUCACUGUCAGGGAGCUCGCAAACUCAAUGAAGAAGGGGGGUUUUGUCGUGAGCCAUGUAAUGGAAGUUGGUAUAGAGAGUAUAAUGAUGAACUUGCCACCAGACUCAAAGAAGCUUGUGAUGCCCGUCAGGUUCUCGGUUCAGAUGCAAAACAUGGAAUUGAACGGCAACGAGCUCAUUUCCCGGUUCAAGAAGUCGAAUCGCUUGGACCGUAAAGACAUGAUUAUGUUCCCAGUUUUAGAGAACAUUGACAAGACAAAGCCUAAAACAGGCAAUCAUUACUGGAUUUUUAACGUGAACAUAAGGGAUUGA